UCCCUGGUGGCUCAAACGGUAAGGAGUCUGCCUGCAGUGCAGGAGAUCCAGGUUUGAUCCCUGGAUUGGGAA
rnacentral:tRNA from 1 species